rnacentral:rRNA from 1 species
GUAGGUGGCAAGCGUUGUCCGGGAAUUAUUGGGCGUAAAGCGCGCGCAGGCGGUUCUUUAAGUCUGAUGUGAAAGCCCACGGGCUCAACCGUGGAGGGUCAUUGGAAACUGGAGAACUUGAGUACAGAAGAGGAAAGCGGAAUUCCACGUGUAGCGGUGAAAUGCGUAGAGAUGUGGAGGAACACCAGUGGCGAAGGCGGCUUUCUGGUCUGUAACUGACGCUGAGGCGCGAAAGCGUGGGGAGCAAACAGGAUUAGAUACCCUGGUAGUCCAGGCCGUAAGCGAUGAGUGCUAAGUGUUAGGGGGUUUCCGCCCCUUAGUGCUGCAGCUAACGCAUUAAGCACUCCGCCUGGGGAGUACGGCCGCAAGGCUG